UUCUUUUCUUCCACAGGAGCAAGUGCCUGGAGAGAAACUACCCAAACUAAAGUCACAGAAACGGCCCCGAGAAAAAAGUGACACUGCAAAUAUUGACGGACAGAUUGGAUAUUACAAACGUGGUGUUCAGUUCAUCAACAAGGAAUCUCUCCAGAAACUGAAAACCUCGUGAUUGUUCCCCACAUUCUAAUCCAGCUCAACUUCAUCAACCAUAAUACCUGUACAUAACUCACUUCUGGUACAUGGAAAAGGGUUUCUAGGUGAUGAAGAAGUGUCACCAGGGAUCUUCUCUCCUUCAUCAGUUACAGUGCUACCCCUAUAAGUGAAGAUGAUGUGAUUAGAGUCCUACAUUGCUCUACAUGGAUAGAAGAUACAAGAUCAAGGCCCGCUUCACGAAGUGAUCGCAACGCAAUGAUUGUCGCGAAAUCCCAUAAAUUGAUAGUCAUAGAUCAAAGAUCACGUUUUUAAACAGGGAGGCCCAGUGCUAACAGCAAUUGUAGAUACCAUCAUUUUGAACAUAGAUUAUUAUAAGUGCUCAGAAUGUGUGUGGAUUUCCAUUAAGCAUGUUGAGUUUGUUUUGCGUAAAAAAAUGAAUGAAAAAAAAAAGAUGCUGCAUUGCAUGAACGUAAAAAAUUGUCAUCAUUGUCAAUCAUCCAAAUGCGGUAUUGUGCAGAGCUGUAAAUAUGCAUUUUACCUUUCAAUUCAUUAUUUGAAGUAGUUUGGGUGUCAACAAUGUGAAUUUAUUUUGUCCAUUUUAUUUGAAGACAGUUUCAUUGACAAUAUCAUUCCUAUGCUCAUUAACUUAUGAAAGCUCAUAAUAAACGUGUAUAUAGCCAUAGAAA